rnacentral:rRNA from 1 species
CUCCUGGAAACGGGUGGUAAUGCCGGAUGCUCCAGUUGAUCGCAUGGUCUUCUGGGAAAGCUUUCGCGGUAUGGGAUGGGGUCGCGUCCUAUCAGCUUGACGGCGGGGUAACGGCCCACCGUGGCUUCGACGGGUAGCCGGCCUGAGAGGGCGACCGGCCACAUUGGGACUGAGAUACGGCCCAGACUCCUACGGGAGGCAGCAGUGGGGAAUAUUGCACAAUGGGCGCAAGCCUGAUGCAGCGACGCCGCGUGAGGGAUGGAGGCCUUCGGGUUGUAAACCUCUUUUAUCGGGGAGCAAGCGAGAGUGAGUUUACCCGUUGAAUAAGCACCGGCUAACUACGUGCCAGCAGCCGCGGUAAUACGUAGGGUGCAAGCGUUAUCCGGAAUUAUUGGGCGUAAAGGGCUCGUAGGCGGUUCGUCGCGUCCGGUGUGAAAGUCCAUCGCUUAACGGUGGAUCCGCGCCGGGUACGGGCGGGCUUGAGUGCGGUAGGGGAGACUGGAAUUCCCGGUGUAACGGUGGAAUGUGUAGAUAUCG